rnacentral:lncRNA from 1 species
GGGGUCUUGUUGGGGGUUCUGAUCCCGGAUCCCGCUUACUGUUUUGUCAGAUUCCCGUAUCCCGCUUACACUAUGUACGUAAGCAAUUCUCAUUUUUUUGUAAAUUCCCGUGUCCCGCUAGACUUCAAUUCCCGUUUUCACGGCACAAUUAUUUGACUUUCACGUGUAACGCUUACAAAAAGUCAGCAAUCCCGCGUCACGCUUAGACCCCAAUGAGACCCACUCAAAUUUUU